rnacentral:rRNA from 1 species
GACGAACGCUGGCGGCGUGCUUAACACAUGCAAGUCGAACGGAAAGGCCCUGCUUUUGUGGGGUGCUCGAGUGGCGAACGGGUGAGUAACACGUGAGUAACCUGCCCUUGACUUUGGGAUAACUUCAGGAAACUGGGGCUAAUACCGGAUAGGAGCUCCUGCUGCAUGGUGGGGGUUGGAAAGUUUCGGCGGUUGGGGAUGGACUCGCGGCUUAUCAGCUUGUUGGUGGGGUAGUGGCUUACCAAGGCUUUGACGGGUAGCCGGCCUGAGAGGGUGACCGGCACGAUGGUCGUGUAGACGUGGACGAGGCACCAAGGGGGGGCGGCGGAGGGGCAGAUGGCACAGGGAGCGGAAGGGUGGCGGAGAAACGGCGCGUGCGGGGUGAGCGUCUUGGGGUUGGAAACUGCUUUCGCCGGUGGCGAGGCGUUGGUGAGGGUAAUGGGUAAAGAAGCAGAGUAUACCGAGGGGCCAGGAUCGGCGGUAAUAGGGAAGGGAACACGUCUGAAC